rfam:Triticum aestivum genome assembly, contig: Triticum_aestivum_CS42_TGACv1_scaffold_252596_3DL
UUACUACUCCCUCCGUCCCAAAAUUCUUGUCUUAAAUUUGUCUAGAUACGGAUGUAUCAAAUACUAAAACGUGACUUGAUACAUCCGUAUCUAGACAAAUCUAAGACAAGAAUUUUAAAACGUGACUUGAUACAUCCGUAUCUAGACAAAUCUAAGACAAAAAUUUUGGGACGGAGGGAGUACCUC